ACUCAAAGGAAUUGACGGGGGCCCGCACAAGCGGCGGAGCAUGUGGAUUAAUUCGAUGCAACGCGAAGAACCUUACCUGGGCUUGACAUGCACCGGAUCGCCGUGGAGACACGGCUUCCCUUGUGGCUGGUGUACAGGUGGUGCAUGGCUGUCGUCAGCUCGUGUCGUGAGAUGUUGGGUUAAGUCCCGCAACGAGCGCAACCCUUGUCCUGCGUUGCCAGCAAUUCGGUUGGGGACUCGCAGGAGACUGCCGGGGUCAACUCGGAGGAAGGUGGGGAUGACGUCAAGUCAUCAUGCCCCUUAUGUCCAGGGCUUCACACAUGCUACAAUGGCCAGUACAGAGGGCUGCGAGACCGUGAGGUGGAGCGAAUCCCUUAAAGCUGGUCCCAGUUCGGAUCGGGGUCUGUAACUCGACCCCGUGAAGCCGGAGUCGCUAGUAAUCGCAGAUCAGCAACGCUGCGGUGAAUACGUUCCCGGGCCUUGUACACACCGCCCGU
rnacentral:rRNA from 1 species